GAUGAGCCCGCGUCCGAUUAGCUAGUUGGUGGGGUCAAGGCCUACCAAGGCGACGAUCGGUAGCUGGUCUAAGAGGAUGAUCAGCCACAUUGGGACUGAGACACGGCCCAAACUCCUACGGGAGGCAGCAGUGGGGAAUAUUGGACAAUGGGCGCAAGCCUGAUCCAGCCAUGCCGCGUGAGUGAUGAAGGCCCUAGGGUUGUAAAGCUCUUUCACCGGGGACGAUAAUGACGGUACCCGGAGAAGAAGCCCCGGCUAACUUCGUGCCAGCAGCCGCGGUAAUACGAAGGGGGCUAGCGUUGUUCGGAAUUACUGGGCGUAAAGCGCACGUAGGCGGACAUUUAAGUCAGGGGUGAAAUCCCGGGGCUCAACCCCGGAACGGCCUUUGAUACUGGGUGUCUUGAGUUCGGAAGAGGUGAGUGGAAUUGCGAGUGUAGAGGUGAAAUUCGUAGAUAUUCGCAGGAACACCAGUGGCGAAGGCGGCUCACUGGUCCGAAACUGACGCUGAGGUGCGAAAGCGUGGGGAGCAAACAGGAUUAGAUACCC
rnacentral:rRNA from 1 species